AUUGAACGCUAGCGGGAUGCCUUACACAUGCAAGUCGAACGGAGUGGCGAACGGGUGAGUCAUGUAUCGGAACGUGCCCAGUCGCGGGGGAUAACUACGCGAAAGCGUAGCUAAUACCGCAUACUAUUGGCGCGUCCGAUAUCGGAUUAGCUAGUUGGUGGGGUAACGGCUCACAAAGGCGACGAUCCGUAGCUGGUUUGCGAGGGCGACCAGCCACACUGGGACUGUGACACGGCCCAGACUCCUACGUGAGGCAGCAGUGGGGAAUUUUGGACAAUGGGGGAAACCCUGAUCCAGCCACCCCGCGUGUGCGAUGAAGGCCUUCGGGUUGUAAAGCACUUUUGGCAGGAAAGCGGUACCUGCAGAAUAAGCACCGGCUAACUACGUGCCAGCCGCCGCGGUAAUAC
rnacentral:rRNA from 1 species